rnacentral:lncRNA from 1 species
AAAAUUCUUGAAACAAGAAUGAUUGAUUGUAGAUUGAACUAACAAGUGGAGUAACUAAAGAAGUUGAAGAAGAUAUGAGGUUAGUUCCAAUCAUCAAAGAAAAAAAUUAAUUUCAAUGAUGAUUAUGUGAGAUUUGUUUCAAUGUGUGAUUUCUGGCUGAGUUUAUCAUCAUAUCGUGUCUUGAGAUGCCCAUCCUUUCUUCUCCAACUCUUGUCGCAGUGCCUGACACCAACCAACAUUUUUUCAUCACAAAAAUAUUUAAGGUAAGGAUUUGUAUCCAUUGCAAAAAUGUUCUUUAUCUCUACCAUUUUAAAGCAAAUCUCAAUUUAUUUAUGAUUUAAGUACAAUUAACUAAGUUUAGCUUCGGUUAAAAUAUGUGACUAAUUUAUUGCAGAGAUAUCAAAAUGAAAAUGGGUUUCAAUCUGUGAGCCAGUCAGACUCUUCACGAUUGAGAAGAUUUGGGUUGGAAAAAAAUCAUUUUUUUUUUUAAAUGUGAAUCAAACUGAACCUAGGUCACUUAACCUAUGGACUUUAGGUUAAAGAUGAAUUGUCCUUAAGCCACUAAUGACAAUCUUUUAUUAAUU